GUCGACUCAGCGCUCGGACAGGAUCAGCUAAGAUCAAGGGUAGUAUCUAUUCUUAUCAGUUUAAUAUCUGAUACGUGGACCAUUGGUUCACUAUGAUAUUAAAUUAAUUUUUGUUUUGGGAGGGAUCAUUAUAGUAGCUUGCUAUUGGAUCAUUGACGUGCCAUUCCUGUGUUGCACUAUCGCAAUGGUUUGGCGGACCCGAC